GAAUUGCCUUUCACCUCCUGCCAUGAUUCUGAGGCCUCCAGCCAUGUGGAACUGGAGAAGGGAGAUGAAAUAAUACCAGCAUCCUGAACCUGAAUGUCCAGCUUCGACUUGUUCUUCGUGGAUUAUAAGACCAUUGAUUAAAUAAAUCCUUUCAUCAAAAUUAUCUU